GAUGAACGCUAGCGGCAGGCCUAACACAUGCAAGUCGAGGGGCAGCACAGGUAGCAAUACUGGGUGGCGACCGGCGCACGGGUGAGUAACGCGUAUGCAACCUGCCCGCCACAGGGGGAUAGCCCGCCGAAAGGCGGAUUAAUACCCCAUCGCCCCGUAGUCCGGCAUCGGACCACGGGUAAAGGAGCGAUCCGGUGGCGGAUGGGCAUGCGUGCCAUUAGCUGGUUGGCGGGGUAACGGCCCACCAAGGCGACGAUGGCUAGGGGGUCUGAGAGGAUGGUCCCCCACACUGGUACUGAGACACGGACCAGACUCCUACGGGAGGCAGCAGUGAGGAAUAUUGGUCAAUGGGCGGAAGCCUGAACCAGCCAUGCCGCGUGCAGGAAGACGGCCCUACGGGUUGUAAACUGCUUUUCCGGGGGAAGAAUAAGGCCCACGCGUGGGCCGAUGCCGGUACCCCGGGAAUAAGGAUCGGCUAACUCCGUGCCAGCAGCCGCGGUAAUACGGAGGAUCCGAGCGUUAUCCGGAUUUACUGGGUUUAAAGGGUGCGUAGGCGGGCGCUUAAGUCAGCGGUGAAAUGCGGGGGCUCAACCUUCGAACGGCCGUUGAUACUGGGCGCCUUGGAUUCGGUCGAGGCGGGCGGAAUGCGUGGUGUAGCGGUGAAAUGCUUAGAUAUCACGCAGAACGCCGAUUGCGAAGGCAGCUCGCCGGGCCGAUAUUGACGCUGAGGCACGAAAGCGUGGGGAUCGAACAGGAUUAGAUACCCUGGUAGUCCACGCCGUAAACGAUGAUGGCUGGAUGUUGGCGAUACACCGUCAGCGUCUGAGGGAAACCAUUAAGCCAUCCACCUGGGGAGUACGGCCGCAAGGCUGA
rnacentral:rRNA from 1 species